UAACAAAAUUAAUAACAAAAU
rnacentral:piRNA from 1 species